rnacentral:misc_RNA from 1 species
GAUGAAGAACGUAGCGAAAUGCGAUACUUGGUGUGAAUUGCAGAAUCCCGUGAACCAUCGAGUCUUUGAACGCAAGUUGCGCCCGAAGCCAUUAGGCCGAGGGCACGCCUGCCUGGGCGUCACACGUCGUUGCCCCCCCAUCUACUCCUUCGGGAUUGCGGGGGGCGGAUGAUGGCCUCCCGUGCGCCUCGUCGUGCGGUUGGCAUAAAUGCCAAGUCCUCGGUGACGCACGCCACGACAAUCGGUGGUUGCGAAACCUCGGUUGCCCGUCGUGUGCGGUCGUCGCGCAUCGAGGGCUCGAAAAAAUUGCCGGGCGCUGUUUCGGCUUUCAACGCGACCCCAGGUCAGGCGGGGUUACCCGCUGAGUUUAAGCAUAUCAAUAAGCGGAGGA